rnacentral:rRNA from 1 species
UGCCAGCAGCCGCGGUAAUACGGGAGGGGCAAGCGUUAUUCGGAAUUACUGGGCGUAAAGGGUUCGUAGACUGUAUAGUAAGUUAUUAGUUAAAUCUUAAAAAAAUACUUUAAACAAGCUAAUAAUACUGUUAUACUAGAGUUUUAAUUAGAAGAAUAGAAUUUCAUAUGAAGAGGUAAAAUUCGUAGAUAUAUGAAGGAAUAUCAUAAGUGAAAACGAUUCUUUAUUAAAAACUGACGUUGAGGAACGAAAGCAUAGGUAGCAAACAGGAUUAGAUA